rnacentral:lncRNA from 1 species
CAGAGCCACUGCAGCACUCUAGUUGUGUGAGUGUGAUUUGCCCAUUACUUUGAGAUUUCUAAAAAUCCAGGCUCCAUCCACUGAAGAAUUCAAAGGAUCACUGAUGGAGGAAUGAUGGCAGUAGAAUCACCUGCAUGCAUCAGCUGCAUGGAAACACCCAGGUGUGUACAGGGAUAUCAAACCAAGUCCUAUGCACGUUCGAGGUAAUACAUGAGCAGGAUCUGCUCCCAAUCCUGAACCUCUUUGAACAGUGACCAUACAAUUUUUUUUCACCUAAGCUCUGGGAGAAGAUCCCUGCUCAGCCAAGUUGGCCUUCUGCCCCACCUGCAUGACUUUGGACGUUAUGGAAUUGCUCGGUAAGAAGUGGUACUUUAAAAGUGACCAGCACUGGUGGACUCCAAUGCCUUCAGAAGCAGUUUUCCUAGGGAACUUACCAAAUAGUUCCCCGAGCAGCAUGAAGUCUGAU